CCUACGGGUGGCAGCAGUGGGGAAUAUUGCACAAUGGGGGAAACCCUGAUGCAGCGACGCCGCGUGCGUGAAGAAGUACUUCGUUAUGUAAAGCUCUAUCAGCAGGGAAGAAAAUGACGGUACCUGAGUAAGAAGCCCCUGCUAACUACGUGCCAGCAGCCGCGGUAAUACGUAGGGGGCAAGCGUUCGCCGGUUUUACUGGGGGGAAAGGGAGCGUAGACGGCAGUGCAAGUCUGGAGUGAAAGGCGGGGGCUCAACCCCCGGACUGCUCUGGAAACUGUACGGCUGGAGUGCAGGAGAGGUAAGUGGAAUUCCUAGUGUAGCGGUGAAAUGCGUAGAUAUAAGGAGGAACACCAGUGGCGAAGGCAGCUUACUGGACUGUAACUGACGUUGAGGCUCGAAAGCGUGGGGAGCAAACAGGAUUAGAUACCCCUGUAGUC
rnacentral:rRNA from 1 species